GGGAAGGUGGCUCAGUGGUAGAGCACUUGCCUUGCAUGCAUGAGACCCUGGGUUCGAUUCCUCCGCACUG
rnacentral:tRNA from 1 species